UGGCAGUAUUUGUGGGAAUUGGUUAGACAGGAGAAAACAUACCUAAUAAACUUUAUUCUUUUUACAUUACACAUUGCUUGUAGGGUGCUAUAAAGGCAUUGUUUUUGUUUGAGAAGGGGGUGACAAAUGAAAAAUCUACAUAAUUCUCCUCUGAUAUUUUGUUUUCUCUCUGAUUAUUCCCUUCUAUUUUCUGUUCUAACCUUUCAUUGGUGCUUUCAUUAAGCCUCUUCCUCCCAUGGCAGACUCUCAUGACAUCUUUUCUUCCCUCAACAAAAAGCUGGAGCAAAUUCUUCUCUCCUAGGCCAAUUUCUCAAACACAUUACAUGACAUAGCUGCUCGCACCUCUUUUUUGGAAUCCAAACUCCCUGUAUCCCCUCCCCAUAACCAAAACACCUCUGCUCGCCCUCUUAAGUU
rnacentral:lncRNA from 1 species